rnacentral:lncRNA from 1 species
ACCCCAACUACCCUCUUCGUCCAUACUGUUUCAGCUGAAGACACCAAAUAUGAAUUUCAAAUUCAGAAUUCCUUGUUACCAAACCCUGCUGUUGUCUUAUACUUCAAAUUCAUGACCAAACAGCAGGUGUUUGAAAAGCCUCAUCCCAGUUAAAAAAAAAAAAAAGGCCCUUUAAGAAAAUGCCUGUUCUUUAUCUUGUGUGGUUCAGAGGGGGUGCUCCGUUCCAUAUUCCUUAUGAGUGCUGUUCCCCUGGGGUCUGCUGACAGCGGCCGUGUAACCCAGAGGUACAAGUCCAGGCAUCAGACGAAAGCCUUGUGUGUUUUUUAGUUAUUACACAUGGACAUGCAGAGCCUGCUUUCCUGAAAGCCCGGGAGUGAUCCCAUGCAGAUUCAGAGGCUUUUCUUCUCACAAGCACACAUGUGCGUGCACGCACACUCUCUCUCACACACCCACACACACCCCCUCCUCACCCUCACCUGAUCCUGCAGCAGCCUUCGCCCAGCCGUACUUUCUGCAUGGCCUUAGUGAGCGGAGUUCUGUUUCUGCUCCUUUGGGGACUCCUUCAGAAAGUGGUAGUGAACAUUCUCUACAUGUUACCAAAACGGCCUGUUAGUCAAAGCUGGCAGUUUUGUUCUCUGGGUAUAAGCUAAGAGAUUGAGCCCCACGUAUCUAGAGUUGAAUAGUAAUAAUAACCUUUUGUCAAGCCUUAUCUUUAAAGGUAUGCUAUUAUCCCUGUUUUAUAAAUGAGAAAACAGAGGCUUACAGAGACGAAUGUCAUGGCAAAGGCUCGCAGCAGGAAAAGGGGGUUUGCACAGGCAGUACUGUUCCAGAGCCUGCACUCUGAGUUGUGCCAUGAAUCCAGAACUUCCCUAUGCCUGAGCUAAUCAGUCCUAGGGAAAUUAGGGACUCAGAAAGAGCCAGUAACUGAUUUAAGUCAUUAGUGACUAUUUAGAGUUAGGUUCACAUUCGUUUCCUAGAAAAGAUGCCAACUGAUUUACAAGAAGAGAGACAACUGUUGGCUUAGAGAGCUGCAGAAAACCUCUAGAAGGAGAGACUGUAAACGGCAGAUUUACAAGGCAAAUUACUUACUAGGUUGGCAAUAGAAAGUGCAUUAAACACUCCAAAAUUGAACCAAUAGCGGAUGGGAAACCAGAAAUCACCAUUGCUGUCCAUCUGGAUUCCCAGGCAGGGCCUUUGUUGAGAAGGGCCCUAUGCUUGGUUUAAUGUUCUAUGAUAGUCUUGAAAUUCUUAAUAUAAUUUUAUCUUUGACCUUGUGUUUUGUGAUGAGGCUGAUGGGCCAGCGUGAUACCCAUGCAGGCAGCAGAGAUGUGCCAGGCAGCAGGGCACAGUCAUGGGUGGUUGGGGGCCAGCAGGCAGCAUAGGCUCAUUGCAGUUGGCCCAGGACUUCCAUGCAUGACUUGGGCAGUUCAGGGUUCCUGAGGGUGUGGCCAGGACAGGACCUGGAGCCACUUCGUUGGUGGCAGCAGCAGCAGCAGCAUCAGUGACAGCAAAAGCAACUCUACAAGUUAGAGGAAAUGUCAGCGGAAACAUUAAAAUAACACUGUAUAAAUCCACUUUUAAAGUGAACCACAGACUAUAUGAAACGCAUUUGUACAGAGAGUAAAAUCUUUUCAAAAAAUUAUUCCUCAACCAUUACUGGUCCUAAAUGUAAUAAAAUUUAUAUUUUGAUAAAAUUUAUCAGAAAUUUAUCUCAACAUAAUAUUUUUAAAGAACCCCAACAAGGUUGUCACAGACUAUAAACUACUUUUUGUUUUGUUUUGGGUUUUUGUUUUUGCUUUUUAGGGCCACAUAUGGAAGUUCCCAGGCCAGGGGUCGAAUCAGAUCUACAGCUGCCAGCCUACACCGCAGACAUAGCAAUGUGGAAUCCAAGCUGCAUCUGAGACCUACACCACAGCUCACGGCAAUGCUGGAUCCUGGACCCACUGAGCGAGGCCAGGGAUCAAACCAGAAUCCUCGUGGAUACUGGUCGGAUUGAUUUCCGCUGUGCCUCCAGGGGAACUCCCCAUAAACUACUUUUAAUAGCCUCAAUCACAAUUGCACAUGCAGAAAGCAUCUUCUCAAAAUUGAAAAUUAUCAAAGACUUUAUAAUCUUGCAUUUGCAAGAACCACCAGUAUUGCUUUCAAUUAUAUUUACUAAAAAUUAAGUUACUUAAAGUAUGUAUUUUGAUGAUCUACUAAAACAUUUUGCAAAAAAGUGAUCCAGAAAAAAAUUUUAUGAUUAAUCAAGAUACCGCAUUAGUAAAGUAUUAUCAUUUAUUACAUAGGAUUUUGACACCAAAAUAUUAUUUGCAAAUUCUAAGUUUAUGUUGUUUCCCAUGUAUCACUGUCACCCCUAUUACUCUUUUGAAAGUAACAAAAUAUUCCUAAAAGGAAAGAUCUUUAUAUUUUAGUACUUUAAUAGCACUCUUUCCUGCUUUUUCAAAAAGUAGUUUUCAUUGUCAUUUUGCACUGGGUCCUUCGAGUAUCCAGCCCUGCUCCCAGAAGAAGAAGUGAUAUCGUAGAAGAACAAGGAAGGUGAGGUUUUCCGCCAAGAGUCCAAGCUCCCUUUUAUCCUGAUGAAAAGUACAGCCCAAAGCAGAGGGAACGGCCAGCUCAGGGUUGGGGUGAGCGUGAGUCAGAGGGAUCAGGUCAACCUUCCAGUGUCUAGGGGCAAAGCUGAGUUUAGAGGCAGCCUCUGCUUUUUUCCUGGUUGUCAGAGCAGCGUAUCAGGUGCUGAAGGAUGUUAAGAAGAAGAAAACUCGAGGAGAAUGGAUUGGGUUUUUCCCUUAGUCACAACUGUUAUAAAAAUUGCUGGUAUAUUUCAUGUUUGCUUUUAUUUUUCCAGCUUUGCCUUUUAUUGCAAUGGGACCUUUACAAACUACCCAAGGCUUCCAUUCUUCAUUUUCUCAUAUGUGGCGGUGAAGGGGGUGAUGACAGCUGAUGCAUUUUGGUGACACUGCUUUGAUUCAUGCUAAGGAAGCAGCAGUUUUACCUACCAUUGCUUUUGUGCUGUCAGAGCAAAUGUCAACACAGCAGAAAAGACACAUCCCAUGUUAGCAUUAUUAUGAAAGCGUUUUGAUCUUAUAGGUCCCCUGCAAGAGUCUCAGGACCUCCAGAGCUCUGCAGACCACACUUUGAGAACCAUGACUCCCUGGUGUCAUCUGAAGACCUCCAGCUGCUGGUCCUGAGCUCCAGCAUUCAGGGGAGGCCAGGAGCCCAAGAGAGGAAAAUAAGGACAAGCCUUAAAGUGAAAGAAUUAAAACUUGAACCCAAAUACAGAAAUAUGUAAGAGUAGUCUGACAUAUUUUUUAAAGACUUUCUGCAUGAUUUUUGAACUAAGAGCACUAGUGAAUGAAUUGAAGGGGAGCAGGAGAUCGGUGUUGGGACUUGCAUUAGUGGCCUAGAAACUCAACUGGACAUAAUAUUUUAAAACAUAGAGCAAAAUAAAUAACGAGAAAACAAUCAUGAGGGGAAAAGAGUUUGGGAGGAUAUAUAUGAAAAAACUAACAUGUGAACAAAAGAAGAUCCAGAGAGGAGAAAAGGAACUGAUGAAGAAAAGGCAAUGCUUAAAGAAGAAAAUGUCCCAAGAUUAAGAAGGACCUAAUGUGUAAAUUGUAACUAUUCACCAAAUUCUAAGCAGAAGGGAUGAGAAAGUCGUCAGAGCUAGUCUGGAAAAUUUAUAAACUCCGAGAACAAAGGGCGCCAUGACUAACUUCUAGACGGAAAUAACCAGCUACUUUAAGAAUCAGACUGCCAUAUGGCAUGUUUUUUGUUACUGUUUUUGUUUUUGUUUUUCCCCUGCCUGGCCAUAUCUGCAGCAUAUGGAAGUUCCUGGGCCAGGGGUUGAAUCAGAGCUGCAGCUGCAGGCCUACCCCACAGCCACAGCAACGUGGGAUCUGAGAAACGACUGUGACCUAUACACCACAGCUCAGGGCAACGCUGGAUCCUUAAUCCACUGAAUGAGGCUGGGAAUUGAACCCACAUCCUCCCGGAGACUACGUCAGGUUCUUAAUCCACUGAGCCUCAGAGGGAACUCCCUGUGCAGGGUUUUAUAUGCAACACCUUAAUGGGACGGUGUUGGAAUUGCGUCUGACUGUGGAGGGAAAAUGACCGUAGCCUGUGUCCUGUAUCCACCUAUGACGUCAUUCCCUUUCCAAAUGGGGGCGUGUGAUGCGCUGUGAACCGGAGAGUACAUCACUCGUGCAUACUGGUUCCAGAGGAAAGGACGAGAGGGAAGACUCUGUAACAACUGUACCAGAAUCAACCUACCACCAUCCUCUUCGUGGAGACAGCGAGACAUGAGGAGGAGAAGCCGCAAUUCUCAGCAAGGCAUAUGCAGUUAAAUCCAGGUGGACGGGGUAGACCAGGAGUCUCUGUUAGCUACCGCCAAGAAAGAUUAUUAACAUAGAGGGUAUGUGGAAGGGUCAUUCUAAUAAUAAUCUGGAACUGAAAGUGUGAAGCUAUCUCAGAGAAAUCUAGAAGUUAGGGGUGAAUGGGGAGAAAAGCAAUGAAGCAAAGCAUUUCAAAGAUUGUAUCUUGGACCAGGUAAGGGCAGAAUUGAGACUAGGAGUGAAAAUAUUCUAAAAGACUGACCUUAUUAGUGUGGAGUGUCUUAGUGAAGGACACAAAUUGUGUCUUUAAAGUUAUAGAAAUGUGUUUUGUUAUAAGUCCCUAGAGAGGAGAGGCAAACAUUUAUCAGAUGGAAAGUUACAGAGAAAUAGCACUUGUUAAAGGAAAAAAGAAAGUGAAAAGAAACUUAUGAAAACCCAGCAAAAA